GUUUCUGUAUGGACCAGAUUCUCUCCGGGUACAUGUUCUCAAGUUCCUUAAAAAUCCUUCACUGAGAAGAUGGUGAUUGGACUUUGUGUGCCAUGUCAUCAAUGUCUCUGCACAAUCAGGGCUUGAAAUACCCUAACUGCUCCUGUCCCAU
rnacentral:snoRNA from 1 species